AUACGUAGGGGGCGAGUGUUGUCCGGAAUGAUUGGGCGUAAAGGGCGCGUAGGCGGCGCGGUAAGUCUGGAGUGAAAGUCCUGUUUUUAAGAUGGGAAUUGCUUUGGAUACUGUCGGGCUUGAGUGCAGGAGAGGUAAGUGGAAUUCCCAGUGUAGCGGUGAAAUGCGUAGAGAUUGGGAGGAACACCAGUGGCGAAGGCGACUUACUGGACUGUAACGGACGCUGAGGCGCAAAAGUGUGGGGAGCAAACAGGAUUAGAUACCCGGGUAGUCCACGUCCUAAACGAUGAAUACUAGGUGUGGGGGGACUGACCCCCUCCGUGCCGGAGUCAACACAAUAAGCAUUCCGCCUGGGGAGUACGGCCGCAAGGUUGAAACUCAAAUGAAUUGACGGGG
rnacentral:rRNA from 1 species